CCGACCUUAGCUCAGUUGGUAGAGCGGAGGACUGUAGUUUGAAAACAGAAAUCCUUAGGUCGCUGGUUCGAAUCCGGCAGGUCGGA
rnacentral:tRNA from 1 species